UUUCCGUAGGUGAACCUGCGGAAGGAUCAUUACAGAGUUCAUGCCCUUACGGGUAGAUCUCCCACCCUUGAAUAUUUAUACCUUAGUUGCUUUGGCAGGCCGUGGAAACACCAUGGGCUCCGGCUUAUGCGUGCCUGCCAGAGGAAACAAACUCUGUUUUUAGUGAUGUCUGAGUACUAUAUAAUAGUUAAAACUUUCAACAACGGAUCUCUCGGUUCUG
rnacentral:misc_RNA from 1 species